UACGUAGGGGGCAAGCGUUGUCCGGAUUUAUUGGGCGUAAAGAGCUCGUAGGCGGCUUGUCGCGUCGACUGUGAAAUCCCGCGGCUCAACCGCGGGUCUGCAGUCGAUACGGGCAGGCUAGAGUUCGGUAGGGGAGACUGGAAUUCCUGGUGUAGCGGUGAAAUGCGCAGAUAUCAGGAGGAACACCGAUGGCGAAGGCAGGUCUCUGGGCCGAUACUGACGCUGAGAAGCGAAAGCGUGGGGAGCGAACAGG
rnacentral:rRNA from 1 species